GACGAACGCUGGCGGCGUGCCUAAUACAUGCAAGUCGAACGCUUCUUUCCUCCCGAGUGCUUGCACUCAAUUGGAAAGAGGAGUGGCGGACGGGUGAGCAACACGUGGGUAACCUACCCAUCAGAGGGGGAUAACACUUGGAAACAGGUGCUAAUACCGCAUAACAGUUUAUGCCGCAUGGCAUAAGAGUGAAAGGCGCUUUCGGGUGUCGCUGAUGGAUGGACCCGCGGUGCAUUAGCUAGUUGGUGAGGUAACGGCUCACCAAGGCCACGAUGCAUAGCCGACCUGAGAGGGUGAUCGGCCACACUGGGACUGAGACACGGCCCAGACUCCUACGGGAGGCAGCAGUAGGGAAUCUUCGGCAAUGGACGAAAGUCUGACCGAGCAACGCCGCGUGAGUGAAGAAGGUUUUCGGAUCGUAAAACUCUGUUGUUAGAGAAGAACAAGGACGUUAGUAACUGAACGCCCCCUGACGGUAUCUAACCAGAAAGCCACGGCUAACUACGUG
rnacentral:rRNA from 1 species